GGCUAACUCCACUAAGGUUGCCACUCAUUCGGGAAGUCACAGGAUGUCCUGAUUUCUGUGGGUCUCUCCCAGUGGGCAGUUAAGUCGCCCAAAUCAUUUUGGAUGCCAUAUUUCAUCAGCAUGAUGUAAUGGUGUUGGGUCAAGGCCUGGAGAUACAAACAUCAUAGUUAUUCUAGGAACAGGUUGGAUUUAGGGACCGAAAGCUAACCUAAGUGGGGGGACACCAAAACCCUCCUUCCCUCCUGCAGCUGUUGCAGCUCUUGAUCCGGGCUGAGGAGGAUGCAGAGCAGGUAGGUCCAUUCCUGGAUGAUGCCCCAGGAGCCUUGCACCCUUGUCAUAAACAGAUAGCUAAGGGUUAAUGUUCUUUUACCUGGAAAGGAGUAACCUGAAACACCUGACCAGAGGACCAAUCAGGAAACAAGACUUUUUCAAAUCUGGGUGGAGGGAAGUUUGGGUGUGAGUUCCUUGUUCUUUGUCUUCUGCCUGUACUCUCUCGGCUAUGAGAGGAUUUUUCUGCCUCCUGCUUUUCUAAUCUUCUGUUUCCAAGUUGUAAGUACAAAGAUAGGAAGACCAUAGGUUUGUUUUUUUUGUAUUUACAUGUGUGUAAGUUGCUGGAAUGUGUUAAAUUGUAUUCUUUGUGGAUAAGGCUGUUUAUUCAUAUUUCUUUUAAGCAAUUGACCCUGUAUUUGUCACCUUAAUACAGAGAGACCAUUUUUAGGUAUUUUUCUUUCUUUUUACAUAAAGCUUUCUUUUAAAGACCUGUUGGAGUUUUUCUUUAGUGGGGGACUCCAGGGAAUUGAGUCUGUAGCUCACCAGGGAAUUGGUGGGAGGAAGAAGUCAGGGGGAAAUCUGUGUGUGUUAGAUUUACUAGCUUGACUUUGCAUUCCCUCUGGGUGAAGGAGGGGGGUGGGGGGGAGCUUGGCUCUCUCUCUCGGAACCUAUUUCCAGGACUGGAAAUAGGGAGGGUGAAAUCCCUCUGUUUAGAUUCACGGAGCUUGCUUCUGUGUAUCUCUCCAGGAACCCAGGGAGGGUCCACCUGGAGGGGAGGAGGGGGAAGGGAGAUGGUUUAUUCCCCUUUGUUGUAAGACUCAAGGAAUUUGGGUCUUUGGGGUCCCCAGGGAAGGUUUUUGGGGGGACCAGAGUGCCCCAAAACACUCUAAUUUUUUGGGUGGUGGCAGCUUUACCAGGUCCAAGCUGGUAACUAAGCUUGGAGGUUUUCAUGCUAACACCCAUAUUUUGGACGCUAAGGUCCAAAUCUGGGAAUUAUGUUAUGACAAGGUCCAUUCCUGGAUGAUGCCCCAGGAGCCUUGCACCCUCCAGAUGACGCCAACCCCACUGAGAUAGUAACUCCUGCGUACUGUGGAACAGCUAACAGGAAACCGAUAGACGCAUUGUGUGCUGCACACGGGAAAGGGCUGGGGGAGUUUUGUAGGGGCUGCAUGUGGAGUGCAGAGGUGAUGGGAAACCACAGUAUUGCUGUGUGGCUGUUUUUGGGAAUGCAUGAGCAGUUUGAUAGGCUGUCCUCUGCCAUCUUCUCUGGCUGCAGGUGGAUGGAUAGGGAAGGGAUGUACUUGUGUCUGAUAUCUAGCUAUUCUCUUUUUACUAGUGAGUGGCUGACAAUUGCUACAUCUCUUUGUCAGCUGCAAUAUUGUGCCCUAGCAACAAUGUUUCCUCUCCAGCUGUUCUUAGAAGUCAGUAUCCAUAGGUCUGCUUUCCAGUCAGUAAAGCUAGGGUGCUUCCUGCUGCAAUGCUCUUCCUUCUGUUGGUGCUUGUCUCUCUGCUUUUAUCCCAGCGGUGCCUGUUCAGAUGAGCCCGCUGCUGGGAGAUCCCACUCUGAUAUUAAGUAAGAGCUGUGCAUGGAUUUCGUUUUCAUGAGAGUGACACACCAACAGGACUGGCACCAGUCAGGGUCACAUAUGUUGGAACAUGUUUUGCCCUGGCUUUCUCUGCAAACAGGAAAUAACAGUUCUGCUGCAGCCCUGUGGUAUGAAAGCUCAUUACCAGGAAGAACUUCAGUGCAGUUAACAUCUCGUCAUACACUUCUCUCGUCAGGAUGGUGGGCCUUGGUCAGCGUUUCCCCGGAGCGAGCAGGUUUCUCAAAGCUGCGCUUAGUGACAGGGUGAAUACAACCUUUGCCAGCGCUCAUUUUUUGAUACUUGUGAGCUGUUUUCUCCUGGGUCCUGCCACUUCUGGUUCUUUUCCCCAUGUUCCACUAAGUUCUCCCUGUACCCCCCUACACUGGAGGGAACAUUGGCUCCUCCCCAUCCCCUCCAGAGCCCUGAGGAUACACCGGGGUGAAAGUAACUUAAAGGACUUACUGGUACGCCGGAGUCCUGAGUGGGACGUGGCCUCAACCGGAAGAGGUGGGGCCUUUCAAGAUUUAAAGGCCCUGGGGCACUGGCUGUGGCUGGAAGCCCCAUGGCCUUUAAAUCACCCCAGAGCUCCCAGUUGCAGAGGCGGCUGGGAGCCCCGGGGCUCAGGGGCAAAUUAAAGGGCCUGGGGCUCCAACCACUGCGGAGCUGUGGGCCCUUUAAAUCACCACGGGAGCCCUGCCGCUGCUACCGCAGGAUGGCAGGGCUCGGGCUAGGGCUGGGGUAGCAGCAGCAGAACUCAGGUGGGGAUUUAAAGGGCAGGGAGCCUCAGGCCCUUUAAAUCCCCUCUGGAGCCUGGCUGCUGCUGGGGUAGCGGCGGCAGGGCUCCAGCGGCGAUUUAAAGGGCCAGAGCUCCAGGACCUUUAAAUCCCCGCCUGAGCCCAGCUGCUGGAGCUCCGGCGGUGAUUUAAAGGGCCCAGGGUGCCCUGCAGCAGCUGGAGCCCUAGGCCCUUUAAAUCACCACUGGAGAAGCUGGUCCAGUCCAGCAUGGCGUACCAGCUCUUGCUAGGAUGCUGGACCAGACCGUACCGACUUAUUUUCACCUCUGGGAUACACACACACACCAUUCUAAAACACAUUUCUACACAAACACACACACACACACACACACACUUCCCCCAUCCUAGAGCUCCCUCCUAUUGUUCCUCAUUCUUCAGCCACAAACAUUAGUUUCUUUGGAACCCCUGCUCUCCUGAAUCAGCCAGAAGAGGGUGCUGUGAAACAAUGAGAAGCACUCCCUCCACCUAUGGACUGAACCCACUGCCUGCACUUAUCUCCCACCCACUGGCCAGGAUCCAGAAGGGAACAUGAGAUAGGAAUAGGGACUGGGAAUUCAAUUGGCAUUUCCUGUACAGACACUGAGACCACCAUCAAAGCUGACCCAGCAAUUUCACCAUUAAAACUGCUGUCCCGCUC